AUUGAACGCUGGCGGCAGGCCUAACACAUGCAAGUCGAGCGAGCGGGGGACGGGUGUGUGAUGUAUGGGGGUCUGCCCGAUAGAGGGGGGUAACUACCGGAAAAGGUGGCUAUUACAGCACACUCUCGGUUGAAUACACAUGGGGUUAGCUAGUAGGUAAGGUAAUGGCUUACCUAGGCGACGCUCUCUAGCUGGUCUGAGAGGUUGAUCAGCCACACUGGGACUGAGACACGGCCCAGACUCCUACGGGAGGCAGCAGUGGGGAAUAUUGCACAAUGGGCGAAAGCCGGAUGCAGCCAUGCCGCGUGUAUGAAGAAGGCCCUAGGGUUGUAAAGUACGUUCAGCGGGGAGGCGUUACCGGCAGAAGAAGCACCGGCUAACUCCGUGCCAGCAGCCGCGGUAAUUC
rnacentral:rRNA from 1 species